rnacentral:rRNA from 1 species
CAGGCCUAACACAUGCAAGUCGAACGGGAAGGCGCCCUUCGGGGUGCUGGAGAGUGGCGCACGGGUGAGUAACACGUAACUGAUCUGCCCUUUAGACUGGGAUAACCUUUGGAAACAGAGGCUAAUACCGGAUGAGCUCGCGGUAGUUAGAGAGCCGUGAGGAAAGGUUAAGGCGCUAAGGGAUGAGGUUGCGGACCAUCAGCUAGUUGGUGAGGUAAAGGCUUACCAAGGCGAUGACGGUUAGGGGACCUGAGAGGGUGGCCCCCCACACUGGGACUGAGACACGGCCCAGACUCCUACGGGAGGCAGCAGUAAGGGAUAUUGCACAAUGGACGGAAGUCUGAUGCAGCGACGCCGCGUGGGUGAAGAAGGUUUUCGGAUCGUAAAGCCCUUUUCUAUGUGACGAGAGAGGACGGUAGCAUAGGAAUAAGCGUCGGCUAACUACGUGCCAGCAGCCGCGGUAAAACGUAGGACGCGAACGUUAUCCGGAGUUACUGGGCGUAAAGCGCGCGUAGGCGGUUAUUUAAGUUACCUAUGAAAGAUACAGGCUAAACUUGUAUUGGUUAGGUAAAACUGGAUAACUAGAGAGAAAUAGAGGGAAGUAGAAUUCCGGGUGUAGUGGUGAAAUGCGUAGAUAUCCGGAGGAAUACC